rnacentral:rRNA from 1 species
GAUGAACGCUGGCGGCGUGCCUAAUACAUGCAAGUCGAGCGAACAGAUGAGGAGCUUGCUCCUCUGACGUUAGCGGCGGACGGGUGAGUAACACGUGGAUAACCUACCUAUAAGACUGGGAUAACUUCGGGAAACCGGAGCUAAUACCGGAUAAUAUAUUGAACCGCAUGGUUCAAUAGUGAAAGACGGGUUUGCUGUCACUUAUAGAUGGAUCCGCGCCGCAUUAGCUAGUUGGUAAGGUAACGGCUUACCACGGCGACGAUGCGUAGCCGACCUGAGAGGGUGAUCGGCCACACUGGCACUGAGACACGGUCCAGACUCCUACGGGAGGCAGCAGUAGGGAAUCUUCCGCAAUGGGCGAAAGCCUGACGGAGCAACGCCGCGUGAGUGAUGAAGGUCUUCGGAUCGUAAAACUCUGUUAUUAGGGAAGAACAAAUGUGUAAGUAACUAUGCACGUCUUGACGGUACCUAAUCAGAAAGCCACGGCUAACUACGUG